AUUGAACGCUGGCGGCAUGCUUUACACAUGCAAGUCGAACGGCAGCGGGGGCUUCGGCCUGCCGGCGAGUGGCGAACGGGUGAGUAAUGCAUCGGAACGUGCCCAUGUCGUGGGGGAUAACGUAGCGAAAGCUACGCUAAUACCGCAUACGUCCUGAGGGAGAAAGCGGGGGAUCUUUGGACCUCGCGCGAUUGGAGCGGCCGAUGUCGGAUUAGCUAGUAGGUGAGGUAAAGGCUCACCUAGGCGACGAUCCGUAGCGGGUCUGAGAGGAUGAUCCGCCACACUGGGACUGAGACACGGCCCAGACUCCUACGGGAGGCAGCAGUGGGGGAAUUUUGGACAAUGGGGGCAACCCUGAUCCAGCCAUGCCGCGUGAGUGAAGAAGGCCUCGGUUGUAAG
rnacentral:rRNA from 1 species